GACGUUGCACGAUUGGCUCCCCCCUUUGCUUGAACAGACAAUAAAACAAGGAGAAUAUAAAACAAUCUGUUGAAUAUAAUGUAUAGUAUACUAUCUUUCCUUGUUAAUAUAGGUCACAUGUAUGGUAGUUAGGACUCCUAGCCUUGUAUAUAUAUAUCUCUCAAUUGUAAGUAGAAACACAAUGAAUGAGAAUAAGGUUUUUCUCCUUUCUCUCUCUCUCAACAUGGUAUCAGAGCCAAAGGAGAAGACCUAAUUUUUUCGGUUUAUCCGUGUACUCAAUUCCGGCGAACCGUCUAGUGACCGUGUUUCACUCCGGUCCCCUCAUCCUCUCUUCCCGAACCACCCCGGACUACCUCAUCGCCGUCGAUCACGCCGGCAACCUUUUCCGGCGACCUCCUUUCCGGGAAACGACCACAUAUUCUGAAACGCCGGAGGCUGAUCUACACGCCAGUGGAAACCUCAUCGGCAACCGGAAUCUCACGCGCCCCCACGCGCCGCUCUUCUCCUCCGGACUGUCACCCACGCGCCGGCGCGUGACGGCGCGUGGCUCACUUUCCGGCCACUUCCGACACCUCUCCAGGCUCGUCCGGCGCCGUCUAGGCCUUCUAGCCCUCCGGCAGUCCUCCCCGAGCCCUGCAUCUCCAUUUUGUCCCUGUUUUUGGCUUCCUUGCCAUUCCGGCCACCUCCGACAGGGCUCCCUCUCCAUCUCCGAGGCUUGGGUGCUGCUCCUCUUCCUCUCCAGGCAUGUCACGACCGUUUUUCUCCAUUGAUUGCACCUCUCACAGCCGUGGUUUCACUGUUUUUUUUUUCUCUCCGCCGAAAUCUGAACCCAUCUUAGGGCUCUCUUCGAUCCAAAUACGUGAAUAUGACCACCAAAAAUCAGAUCUUUACCUCUGUUCUCUCAGGAUUUCCUCUGAUUACCUCAGAGAAAUUGGUUGGCAGUGAGAAUUAUCUCUCCUGGUCUGCCUCUGUUGAACUUUGGUUUAUGGGUCAAGGAUAUGAGGAUCACUUGGUUACCCAGGAGGCAGAUAUCCCUGAGGUUGACCGCGUACAGUGGAGGAAGAUAGAUGCACAGUUAUGUAGUGUAUUAUGGCAAUCGGUUGAUCCCCGGAUUCUUCUUCAUCUUCAGGCCUAUAAAACUUGUUUUAAAUUUUGGACUCAGGCCAAAGGAUUAUACACGAAUGAUAUCCAGCGUCUUUAUAAGGUCGCUUCUGCUAUUGUCCAUCUCAGCCAACAGGACUUGGAUCUAUCUACUUAUAUUGGUCAGAUUGCCUCUCUUAAGGAGCAGUUCUUGACUGUGAUGCCUCUUACUCCUGAUGUUGGGGCUCAACAAACACAGCUUGACAAGUUCUUCAUGGUCCUUACUCUUAUUGGUCUCCGUCCGGAUCUUGAGCCUAUUCGUGAUCAGAUUCUUGGUAGUUCAUCAGUUCCGUCCUUGGAUGAUGUGUUUGCUCGCCUCCUCCGUAUCUCGUCCACUCAGACUUUGCCAUCUGAUAGCGCUUCAGAUUCUUCUGUGUUAGUUUUUCAAACUACCUCUCGAGGAGGACGCAGUGGUACCCGAGGUAGAGGCCAACGUCCUCAUUGCACCUAUUGCAAUAAACUUGGCCACACUCGCGAUCGUUGCUAUCAGUUACAUGGAAGACCUCCUCGCACUGCCCAUAUGGCCCAGUCCUCUGAUUCUCCGCUGCCUCAGCCUCCGAGCUCCUCCGCAUCUCAGACAUCUCAGGCUUCUAUUGCCUCUGUUGCCCAGCCUGGUAAUGCCUCUGCCUGCCUUACCCACACAUCUUCUCUUGGACCCUGGAUUCUAGAUUCUGGAGCAUCUGAUCACCUAUCUGGUAAUAAGGAUCUUUUCUCCUCUAUUACUACUACCUCUGAUUUACCUACUGUUACCUUAGCUAAUGGUUCUCAAACUGUGGCUAAAGGUAUUGGUUUGGCCCUUCCUCUGCCUUCUCUACCUCUGACUUCUGUCCUUUAUACUCCUGAAUGUCCUUUUAAUCUUAUUUCCAUCAGCAAACUCACUCGUACUCUUAAUUGCUCUAUUACCUUUUCUGAUAAAUUUGUGACCUUGCAGGACCGGAGUACGGGGAAGACGAUUGGCAUAGGACGUGAGUCUCAAGGCCUCUAUCACCUCACCUCAGAUUCAUCUCCUGCAGUUUGCAUUUCCACUGAUGCUCCUCUCCUCAUUCACAAUCGUCUGGGCCACCCUAGUCUCUCCAAGUUCCAGAAGAUGGUUCCUCGUUUUUCCACUUUGUCGUCGCUUCCGUGUGAGUCAUGUCAGCUUGGGAAACAUACUCGUGUCUCGUUCCCAAAGCGUUUGAAUAAUCGGGCAAAGUCUCCUUUUGAGCUUGUCCACACUGAUGUUUGGGGUCCUUGUCGGACUGCGUCUACUUUAGGAUUUCAGUAUUUUGUCACUUUCAUUGAUGACUAUUCUCGAUGUACUUGGUUAUUUUUAAUGAAAAAUCGAGCUGAGUUAUUCUCUAUUUUCCAGAAAUUUUAUACUGAAAUCCAAACCCAGUUCAAUAUUUCUAUUCGUGUGUUACGCAGUGACAAUGCCAGGGAAUAUUUUUCAGCCCAAUUUACUUCGUUUAUGUCUCAUCAUGGGAUUCUUCAUCAGUCUUCUUGUGCUCAUACUCCUCAACAAAAUGGGGUAGCUGAACGUAAGAAUCGACAUCUUGUUGAGACAGCUCGUACUCUCCUCCUCCAUAGUCACGUUCCUUUUCGCUUUUGGGGGGACGCUGUUCUUACCGCUUGUUAUUUGAUUAAUCGUAUGCCCUCCUCUGUCUUACACGAUCAGAUUCCUCACUCCCUUUUUUUCCCUGACCAACCACUUUAUUUCCUUCCUCCUCGUGUCUUUGGUUGUACUUGCUUUGUUCAUAUUCUCACUCCUGGACAAGACAAGCUUUCCGCCAAAGCCAUGAAGUGCCUCUUCUUGGGAUAUUCCAGACUUCAGAAGGGUUAUCGUUGUUAUUCCCUUGAGACUCAUCGGUACUUUAUCUCCGCUGAUGUCACCUUCUUUGAGGACUCACCAUUCUUUUCCACCACUUCUGAGUCUCUUCCUGUUUCUGAAGUCUUACCCAUUCCCAUUGUCUCCCCACCUGAUGCUAUGCCCCCUCGACCACUUCAGGUUUAUCAUCGUCGCCCUCGUGUCGUUGCUCCUCUCCCUUUUCCUGAGGCACCUGCUGACUCACUUCCUAUCCCUUCGGCUUCACCUGCCCCGGCUCUGCCUUCUCCUAAUGACUUACCCAUUGCUGUUCGGAAAGGUACUCGCUCUACUUGUAAUCCUCAUCCUAUUUACAAUUUUUUGAGUUAUCAUCGAUUAUCUUCACCCUAUUCUGCCUUUGUUUCUGCUAUAUCCUCUGUUUCUCUUCCAAAGAGCACCCAGGAAGCUCUUUCCCAUCCAGGCUGGCGACAGGCAAUGGUGGAUGAAAUGACUGCUCUGCACUCUAAUGGCACUUGGGAUCUUGUUGUUUUACCCUCUGGUAAAUCUACAAUUGGUUGUCGUUGGGUCUAUGCAGUUAAGGUUGGUCCUGAUGGUCAGGUUGAUCGCCUUAAGGCCCGCUUAGUUGCUAAAGGCUAUACUCAAGUUUAUGGUUCUGAUUAUGGUGACACAUUCUCCCCUGUUGCCAAGAUUGCUUCUGUCCGCUUGCUUCUCUCCAUGGCUGCUAUGUGUUCUUGGCCUCUUUAUCAGUUGAAUAUUAAAAAUGCCUUCCUUCAUGGUGAUCUUGCCGAGGAAGUUUAUAUGGAGCAACCUCCUGGUUUUGUUGCUCAAGGGGAGUCUGGUUUAGUGUGCAGGUUACGCCGUUCUCUAUAUGGCUUGAAACAAUCUCCUCGAGCAUGGUUUAGCCGUUUUAGUUCUGUUGUUCAAGAGUUUGGCAUGCUUCGGAGUAUAGCAGACCAUUCAGUUUUUUAUCAUCAUAACUCCUUGGGGCAGUGUAUUUAUCUGGUUGUUUAUGUGGACGACAUCGUCAUUACAGGCAGUGAUCAGGAUGGUAUUCAGAAACUAAAGCAACAUCUUUUUACCCACUUUCAGACCAAAGACUUGGGGAAACUCAAGUAUUUAUUGGGAAUUGAGAUAGCUCAAUCCAGUUCUGGUGUGGUCCUUUCCCAAAGGAAGUAUGCUUUAGACAUCCUGGAAGAAACCGGUAUGUUAGACUGUAAACCGGUAGACACACCUAUGGAUCCGAAUGUCAAACUUGUACCAGGACAAGGGGAGCCUUUAGGAGACCCCGGGAGAUAUCGACGGCUCGUAGGUAAAUUGAACUAUCUCACCAUUACUCGUCCAGACAUUUCCUUUCCUGUGAGUGUUGUUAGUCAAUUCCUACAGUCACCAUGUGAUAGCCAUUGGGAUGCCGUAAUCCGUAUUCUUCGAUAUAUCAAAAGUACACCAGGCCAAGGUGUAUUGUACGAGAACAGAGGUCAUACUCAAGUUGUUGGUUACACAGAUGCAGAUUGGGCUGGCUCACCCACAGAUAGACGUUCCACUUCAGGGUACUGUGUUUUUAUUGGAGGUAAUCUAAUAUCUUGGAAGAGUAAGAAACAAGAUGUAGUGGCCAGAUCUAGCGCUGAAGCCGAGUAUCGAGCUAUGGCCUUGGCAACAUGUGAACUCAUAUGGUUGAGACAUCUUCUUCAGGAGUUGAGAUUUGGAAAGGAUGAACAGAUGAAACUCAUCUGUGAUAACCAGGCCGCAUUACAUAUUGCAUCCAAUCCAGUCUUUCAUGAAAGGACCAAGCAUAUUGAAGUUGACUGUCAUUUCAUUAGAGAGAAGAUCGCAUCAGGAUGUGUUGCUACAAGUUUUGUCAAUUCAAAUGAUCAACUAGCAGACAUCUUCACUAAAUCUCUCAGAGGUCCUAGGAUUAAAUAUAUUUGUAACAAGCUUGGUGCAUAUGACGUAUAUGCUCCAGCUUGAGGGGGAGUGUUGAAUAUAAUGUAUAGUAUACUAUCUUUCCUUGUUAAUAUAGGUCACAUGUAUGGUAGUUAGGACUCCUAGCCUUGUAUAUAUAUAUCUCUCAAUUGUAAGUAGAAACACAAUGAAUGAGAAUAAGGUUUUUCUCCUUUCUCUCUCUCUCAACACAAUCAAAUGGUGGUUUGCAAUUCUUUUUCAUGUUGACAUAAUGAUAUGUAUCUCAUUUGCAGUCCUUAUUGAUUUCUGGGCAGCCCAAAUUCACAGAACGUCUUUUAUGCAAAAUUGUAAAUAAAUUUCCAUAGAUGGAGAUCAUGGUAAAGGUCAUUUUUUUUU
rnacentral:lncRNA from 1 species